rnacentral:pre_miRNA from 1 species
UCUCGAGGCUGAGCAAAGAAAGUGGUUUUUUGAGAUGGAAUCUACUCCUGGUGCAAAUGCUGUGAA